CACAACAUAUGGAGAGUUAACCACGAGAAUGAACAACUGCUUGGUGCUUACCUAAAUUUCUAUCUGGGUCGCUGAAUUCAUCAUCCAAAGCCUCUCUUCUCUUUCUAUGUGUUUUGUAUCUCUUUUGAAGAAUGAGAACAUGCAGAGUUGCAAGUUAAAAUGAACAGGUCAGAGCUACAAUUUACUGGAAAUUUGAGUUUCCAACUGCAUAUUUAAGAUACUGAAGAGUGAAGUAUGAACAGCAGAGAAGAAUAAACUGUAAAAUGGUUCUGAUUAUAUUUCCAUUAUCAAGGCUAAUUGUUUUAAGAGAUUUUGCCUUGAUUAUAACAAUAAUAAACAAGUAAUUUAUGUUUCAAGAAAAGAUACUGAAGGCCCUGUUUUUCAAACUUUGUAUCAUGACCCACUGAAGAAGUAGCAUUUAUUUCAUGACUCAGACACAUAUGUAGGAAUAUGCAUUACUAAAAUGAAGGCUGAAUGACCUAUUUCUGACCGGUC
rnacentral:lncRNA from 1 species